CCCUUAGAUGUUCUGGGCCGCACGCGUGCUACACUGAGUGGAUCAGCGGGUCAGGUUGCGCUAAAGUGUUUCCUAAUCUUUAAAUCCGCUCGUGAUGGGGAUUGACGGUUGCAAUUUUCCGUCAUGAACGAGGAAUACCUUGUAAGCGCGGGUCAUCAUCCCGCGCUGAAUACGUCCCUGCCCUUUGUACACACCGUCCGUCGCUCCUACCGAUUGAGUGGUCCGGUGAGGCUUUGGGAUCUGAGCGGAAAGAGCGUUUCGCUGUUUCUGCCCGGAAAACUCAGUCGAACCUUAUCAUUUAGAGGAAGGAGAAGUCGUAACA
rnacentral:rRNA from 1 species